rnacentral:rRNA from 1 species
GACGAACGCUGGCGGCGUGCUUAACACAUGCAAGUCGAACGCUGAAGCUUGGUGCUUGCACUGGGUGGAUGAGUGGCGAACGGGUGAGUAAUACGUGAGUAACCUGCCCUUGACUCUGGGAUAAGCCUGGGAAACUGGGUCUAAUACUGGAUACGACAUGUCACCGCAUGGUGGUGUGUGGAAAGGGUUUUACUGGUUUUGGAUGGGCUCACGGCCUAUCAGCUUGUUGGUGGGGUAAUGGCUCACCAAGGCGACGACGGGUAGCCGGCCUGAGAGGGUGACCGGCCACACUGGGGCUGAGACACGGGCCAGACUGCUGCGGGGGGCAGCAGUGGGGAAUAGUGCACAAUGGGCGGAAGCCUGAUGCAGCGACGCCGCGUGGGGGAUGACGGCCUUCGGGUUGUAAACCUCUUUCAGCGCGGAAGAAGCGAAAGUGACGGUACGUGCAGAAGAAGCGCCGGCUAACUACGUG